CCUACGGGAGGCAGCAGUGGGGAAUCUUGCGCAAUGGCCGAGAGGCUGACGCAGCGACGCCGCGUGGGGGAUGAAGCAUUUCGGUGUGUAAACCCCUGUUGCUCGGGACGAACGACCCUUUUCGAGGGGUGUGACGGUACCGAGUGAGGAAGCACCGGCUAACUCCGUGCCAGCAGCCGCGGUAAUACGGAGGGUGCGAGCGUUGUCCGGAAUCACUGGGCGUAAAGGGCGCGUAGGUGGUUGGAUGCGCCGGUGGUGAAAGCGCAGGGCUCAACCCUGCGUCGGCCAUCGGGACGGUCCGACUGGAGCACUGUAGAGGCAGGUGGAAUUCCGGGUGUAGCGGUGGAAUGCGUAGAGAUCCGGAAGAACACCGGUGGCGAAGGCGGCCUGCUGGGCAGUUGCUGACACUGAGGCGCGACAGCGUGGGGAGCAAACAGGAUUAGAUACCCUGGUAGUCCACGCCGUAAACGAUGGGCACUAGGUGCUUGGGGGAGCGACCCCCUGAGUGCCGACGCUAACGCAUUAAGUGCCCCGCCUGGGAAGUACGACCGCAAGGUUGAAACUCAAAGGAAUUGACGG
rnacentral:rRNA from 1 species